rnacentral:rRNA from 1 species
GACGAACGCUGGCGGCGUGCUUAACACAUGCAAGUCGUACGGUAAGGCCCUUUCGGGGGUACACGAGUGGCGAACGGGUGAGUAACACGUGAGUAACCUGCCCACAACUUUGGGAUAACGCUAGGAAACUGGUGCUAAUACUGGAUAUGUGCUCCUGCUGCAUGGUGGGGGUUGGAAAGCUCAGGCGGUUGUGGAUGGACUCGCGGCCUAUCAGCUUGUUGGUGGGGUAGUGGCCUACCAAGGCGGCGACGGGUAGCCGGCCUGAGAGGGUGACCGGCCACAUUGGGACUGAGAUACGGCCCAGACUCCUACGGGAGGCAGCAGUGGGGAAUAUUGCACAAUGGGCGCAAGCCUGAUGCAGCAACGCCGCGUGCGGGAUGACGGCCUUCGGGUUGUAAACCGCGUUCAGCAGGGACGAAGCUUUUUGUGACGGUACCUGCAGAAGAAGCACCGGCUAACUACGUG